rnacentral:tRNA from 1 species
GCCGCGGUAGCUCAGGUAGUCAGAGCACUUCUCUGAAAAAGAAGGGGUGGCCAGUGCAAGUCUGGCCCGCGGCACAA